AUGGUGAAAGUUUGAGUCAAUGGAUUUGGCCAUAUUUGAUACCUGGUCACCAGGGCAGAUUUUAACUCUGGCAAAAUGGAUAUUGUCAUCAUCAAUGAUCUCUUCAUUGGCCUCAACUUCAUGGUCUACAUGUUCCAGUAUAUUUCAUGGCAAGUCCAAUGGCACAGUCAAGGAAAGAGAACAGGAAGCUUGUAAUCAAUGGGAAGCCCAUCUCCAUCCUCCAGGAGCAAGAUCUCGCCAACAUCACAUGAGGCAACUCUGGUGCUGAAUAUGGUGCAGAGCCCACUGGCAUCUUCAGCACCAUGGAGAAGACUGGGGCUCACCUGAAGUAGCCAAAACUGUCGUCAUCCAUGCCCCUUGUGCUGUUGUGCAGAUUCCAUGGUGUGAUGGGUGUGGACCAUGAGAAGUAUGAUUUCUCUUCUUGAGAUUGUCAGCAAUGCCUCCUGCACCAUCAACGUUUGGCACCCUUGGCCAAGGUCAUCUAUGACUACAGUCCAUGCCACUACUGCCACCAGAAGACUGUUGGAGAAACUCUGGCGUAACUGCUGCAGAACAUCAUCCCUGCAUCUACUGGUGUGGCCAAGGCUAUGGGCAAGGUCAUCCCUGAGCCAGAUGAGAGGCUUACAGGUAUGGCCUUCUGUGUUCCCACCCAUAAGAGCCAUGUUGGUCAUGGCUCUCGUCUGCCUUCUGCAGAAAGCUGCGAAAUGUGAUGGUAUGAGAAGAUGGUGAAGCAGGUAUUGGAGGGCCCCCUCAAGGGCAUCCUGAGCUACACUGAGGAUGAAGUUGUCUCCUCUGACUUUAAGAGUGGCACCUGCGGUCUUCUACCUUCAAUGCCAGGACUGGCAUUACCUUCAAUGGCCACUUUGUCAGGCUCCUUUCCUGGGAUGAAUUUGGCAGCAGCAACAGGGUGGUGGACCUUAUGGUCCACAUGGCCUCCAAGGAGUAA
rnacentral:lncRNA from 1 species